GGGUUGGGAAGAAACUGUGGCACUUCGGUGCCAGCAACCC
rnacentral:misc_RNA from 1 species